GCCGGACUGAGCGUCAGCGCGCCGGAAGUGACGCCAGCUCACCGCCAGGGGCUCCGCUCCGCCGCUGAGUAGGAGUAUGAGCCCUUACGGCCUGGCGGCGCGCCGCCAAAAAAAGCUGUCUUUGCUCAUCUAAAGGGGGUCAGUAGUCUUCAUACGAGGCGAGAGAGGAGAAAUGAGUCCACUUAUUUUCUAGGGAAGGAAAAGAAGCGAUCUAGCCAAGGUUCUGGGAGUUAAAACCUUUGCUUCUAAUUCCUCACUGCCCCGAUCUCCAUCUCACCAGACUGCUUCUAGAGAAAGCAGAAUCCACAGGACCAUAGCAUGCUCUAGUCCAGGUGGCGAUGCCAGUGGGAGGGGUGAAAUCCAGAAAGAUCUGCAACGGCACUGAAGAUACGGCUCGAAUGUUUGCCAUCUAUCUGCCAUAUGUUCUGCCUAGGUAUUGGAGGGAAGAAAGGUGGCUUCAAAAAUCAAUGGCAGGACUUCCCUGGUGGCACAGUGGUUAAGAAUCCGCCUGCCAAUGCAGGAGACACGGGUUCGAGCCCUGGUCCGGGAAGAUCCCACAUGCCGUGGAGCAACUAAGCCCGUGUGCCACAACUACUGAACCUGCACUGUAGAGCCCAUGAGCCACAACUACUGAGCCUGCGCUCUAGAGCCCGCGAACCACAACCACUGAGCCUGUGUGCCACAGCUACUGAAACCUGCGCGCCUACAGCCUGUGCUCCACAACAAGAGAAGCCACCACAAUGAGAAGUCCGUGCACUGCAACGAAGAGUAGCCCCUGUUCACUGCAACUAGAGAAAGCCCGCACACAGCAACAAAGACCCAACACAGACAAAGAAAAAAAAAAACUAUACCCAGUAGGGUGGCUAUUAUAAAGCGCACACACACGCGCGCGCGCGCAAGAGAGCAAACAAAAAAAGUAAAUAACAGGGGCUUCUCUGGUGGCACAGUGGUUAAGAAUCCACCUACCAAUGCAGGGGACACGGGUUUGAGCCCUGGUCCGGGAAGAUCCCACAUGCCGUUGAGCAACUAAGCCCAUGCGCCACAACUACUAAGCCUGUGCCCUAGAGCCCACGAGCCACAACUACUGAGCCCGCGUGCCACAACUACUGAAGCCUAUGCACCUAGAGCUCAUGCUCCGCAAGGAGAGAAGCCACCUCAAUGAGAAGCCUAUACAACACAACGAUGAGUAGCCCCCACUCGCCACAACUAGAGAAAGCCCACACGCAGCAACGAAGACCCAACGCAGCCAAAAAUAAAUAAAUUAUAUUUUUAAAAAAGUAAAUAACAAGUAUUGGCAAGGAUCUGGAGAAAUUGGGACCCUUGUGCACUGUUGGUUGGAAUGUAAAAUGGUGCAGCCACUAUGGGAAACAGUAUGGAGGUUCCUCAAAAAGUUAAAAAUAAAAUUAGCAUAUGAUCCAGCAAUUCCACUUUUGGGUAUGUGCCCAGAAGAACUGAAAGCAGCCGCGGAGCAACUAAACCUGUGCGCCACAACUACUGAGCCUGCACUCUAGAGCCCACGAGCCACAACUACUGAGCCCACGAGCCACAACUACUGAGCCCACGUGCCACAACUACUGAAGCCCACGUGCCUAGAGCCCAUGCUCCACAACAAGAGAAGCCACCGCAAUGAGAAGCCUGUGCACUGCAACAAAGAGUAGCCCCCGCUUGCUGCAAGUAGAGAAAGCCUGUGCACAGCAACAAAGACUCAACGCAGCCAAAAAUAAAACAAUAAAUAAUAAAAAUAAAUUAAUUAUUUAAAAAAACUGAAAGCAGAAACUCAAAUAUUUAUACACACAUAUUCAUAGCAGCAUUAUUCAAAAUAGCCAGAAGUUAGAAGCAACCCAAGUGUUCAUCAACCUAUGGAUGCAUAAACAAACUGCACUAUACAUACAAUGGAUUAUUAUUCAGCCUUAAAAAGGAAGGAAAAUUUGACACAUGCUACAACAUAGAUGAGACUUGAAGAAGUUAUACUAAGUGAAAUAAGCUAGUCACAAAAGGACAAAUACUGUAUGAUUCCACUUAUAUGAGGUAUCCAGAGUAGUCCAUUCAUGGAGACAAAAAGUAGAAUGGUGGUUGCCAGGGGGUGGAGGAAGGUAGGAAUGAGGAAUUAUUGUUUAAUGGGUACAGAGUUUCAGUUUUGGAAGAAGAAAAAAGUUCUGGAGCUGGAUGGUGGUGAUGGUUGCACAACCAUGUGUGAAUGUACUUAAUGUCACUGAAUUGUACCUAAAAUGGUUAAAAUGGUAAAUUUGGGGGUGGGAUGAAUUGGGAGAUUGGGAUUGAAAUCUAUACACUACUGAUACUAUGUAUAAAAUAGAUAACUAAUGAGAACUUACUGUAUAGCCCAGGGAACUCUACUCAGUGCUCCGUGGUGACCUAAAUGGGAAGGAAAUCCAAAAAGGAGGAGAUAUGUGUAUACGUAUAGCUGAUUCACUUUGCUGUACAGCAGAAACUAACACAACAUUGUAAAUCAACUAUAUUCCAAUAAAAGUUAAUUUUAAAAACAAAAUACA